AUUGUCACACGAAGUUUCAGAAUGCAAGCUUGUAGUGCUGUUGUCAAUGGUUGAAAGAGAGACCCUGUAAUAGGACACUGAAUCUUGCGUGCAGAAUAAAAGUUUUGACAUCGGUUCUGGAAGACAAGUUUCAGAACAGUUCGACUCUAUGUGGACGAAGACAGCAAAUUCAUUUCCAAUUAUAUCAGUUUUAUAGACUGAAUGGCUGAAAACAGGAGAUAGAAAAACAUCCUCUGUCACUAUAGAAAAGCACUCUCAAAUUUCCAUGCUACUACUUGAAACGUGGUGAUGCUUUUAAAGCAGACAUUUUCCAUGGCCUUAACUGCUCACAGGUCUGUCCUAAAACCAAAGUAGCCACUGUGCAUACCUAGUAAGUACUGUUCAUAAACAUUUUUAUAAUGUUUGACCUUAAGAGUGACCUGAAGAUUAAUGGAUAUGUUGUAUCAGUUUUAAUGGGCCUCUUCUCCCUUGGAUGCACACAUGUGACUCCCAUUAGCCUUAAUGGGAGUUAUAUGUGUGCCUAGAGGUUAGACAAGACCUCUAAAGGUGCUGUUAUGCUCUGUUGUAUUAACGAUCUCAUAAUUGCUGAGGUGCUGCACCUUUGCGUUGAAAGCAAACUAAUUAAAUCAGUCUAGUAUAAGUUGGUAUACUAACAUACCUGUCAACAUUGCUCUGAUAUGAGACUGAAGAUGAUUCUUCAGAACAGUGGCUAGAGAUAAGGAAGGAUUCACAGUGUGUUUCCCAGCUGACCUACACUUUAUGCACUGUACCAGGACAAGCUUCUAUAGGUCAGAGCGAAAUAGACUGUACAUCUGUCAUUGUGACCAUGGCACAGAGCUUCCCUUCCUAUGGUGGAAACUCAAAGACCUGCAAUGGAGUCUGUAUCUAAAAAGUACCUCACUAAUUGGUAUGUCUAGGAGAGACUGCAGGGAAAAGACUUUUAUCAACCUGACAAAUGCAAGAGCAGAAAAAGAAAAAAAUCCAGCUUCAGAAAAGAGAAGAUGAGCUACAGAGACAGCAGAAGGAAACACUUUCUCUGCAACAGAAAAAGGAUGAUCUUACUGAAGUACCUCACUAUAUAUUGAAUAUGUAACUCCAUAUUGCUGCUCUCUGGGAACGUGGAGCUGCAGAAGCCUUGACUCUUUUGGGCUGAGACAAGAGAUUUCCACAAGUCCACCAGAUUCAUCUAUACCUAAGUGUGUUACAGGCUCCUUGUAGAAGCACCUUGCUGGCUCAAUUGCCAUCACAGCUGGAAGACUGAAAGAUGAUUGUUCAAGAGCACAGGCAGCCUUCAGUGGACAAUCAGAAUGUGCCUACAGCUGGAGAAACUCACUGGCAUGACGCCUUUGUUGCUCAUAAAUCUGAUUUCACAGAACUUGAAAAGAAGUUGGAUGAUACCAAAAAGGAACUGGAGGAGGUGCAUGCUAAUCUUGUCAUGGUCAUGCAGCAACUUGAUUUGGCAAGAGCUGAGGUACAACAGUGUAUUUGACUAUCAUCUGAAUGAAUGCUGCAAUAUCAGUUGGUAGGUUGUCAGUUUUGUGGUGGUGGUUAGUGAAUGCUGCUUGUAAAUUUAUUCCUCUUCACUGCUUCUUCUGCUGUUGAUUUUUUUUUUUUUUUUAAUAGAAGGAAAUUUUAUUCUGAAUGUCCGUAUUUCCGUAUACCAAUAUAGAGUAACUGAUUUCAGUGGCACUAUUGUAUAUUUUUAUAUGUGUAAGAUCAGGAUAUGCCUCUUCAUAAAGUAAACUUGUAAAGCCCAUUUUUCAUGCUGAUUUUCUUUAAAACAAAUCUCUUCAAUUUCAAGUUAAGAAACACAUACACACCAACUUUAAUAAUGUGAAUCAUGGUAUUGUGAAAAGGAGGAAAGAAAUAGAGGAGUUUUGUUGAUAAAUCUAGUAAAACAUACUCCAUUGAUUAACACUGUGUAAUAUCAACCUCAUAGGCAACUUAAAACAGGAAAAUGCUGGUUUUAUGCCCAAAUAUUAUUGUUUUCCAAUUUAAUUUUAAAUACUCUGAAAAUAUGCAGCUUCUUUUGCUAGCCGCAGGAAGACACUAGCAGUAGAAGUAGUAUGGCAAAAAACUAAUUUUUUCAUAAGAUUUAUAAAGCAUUAUACUAUUCACAUAGUUAGACACAGAUCAGAAUAAUUCUGGACUAAAAGUUUAGGUGGAAGGUAAUGAUGGAAUAGAAAUUCAGUUUUCUUAUUUUUCCUUGUUCAUUGUAAAUAGUAGAAAACCAAUAUAUUAGACUCUUUAUCUUCUGUUGAAAAUUUCCUUUUGAUAUGUUCUAAUUAUACUAAAUUAUUAUUAGCUUAUUUUGUUAACUAUACAUUUUAGUACAGAACUCAGCCAGUAUUUGGAAGUUCAUACCUUAGUGAGCAGAGGAAAAUAAUGCAAACAUACCUGUAUUAAUUUAUUCAAAAAUUUGGAGCUAGACCUGAUCCUUUGUCUUAUUGAACUUUUAUUUAAUGGCUAAAGCACAAUUCUUUUAAACAUGUUUAAUGAAAUAAUAGAAAUACAACUUAUUAACAUAAAUUAUGAGUCUGCCAUAUGACUGACAUUAAAAAGAAAUAUUAAUUUACCUGUGUAUUCUGUGAUUAGUGAUAAUUGUAUAAUUGUAGUUUAAAGGCAUGUUGAUGGAUCUAAUAGGUACAAAAAGUUUCUGUACAGGUAUGUUUGCAAUCUUACAAGGAUGUAGUCAUUUGUCUCGGUAUACAAAUAUGUACAAAUCCUAGCAUUGCAGUGAAAAUCCAAUAAUGAUUUAAUUGCAUCAAACAUGUUUGCAUUCUACGGUUUUAUAUUCUGUUACUGAAACACCAGUGUGUAAUAUUCAGUAAUCCUAAAUGAUAUACUGUGGGAUGCUGCCUGUAUUAUAUGAUGAGAAUACUUUGAGUUAGGUUUUGUCAUAAUGGUGUACUGUAUAAUAUAUUUUAUUAUCUAGAGAAAUUACAUUAUGCUAAGGAACUUAAAAAAAAAAGUUUCUUUCCCUUCAU